CAGAGAAUGCCGGAAUGAGUAGCGAGAGGAAGGUGGGAAUCCUUCCGGCCGAAUAUCUAAGGUUUCCAGAGUAAAGCUGAUCUGCUCUGGGUAAGUCGGGGCCUAAGGCGAGGUCGAAAGACGUAGUCGAUGGAUAACAGGUUGAAAUUCCUGUACUAUCCUGUAACAGAACUGUGGGGACACAGGCAGAGAGCGUGAGCCGGGAAUGGAAAGACCGGUACAAGCGAGGUAGGAGAAGAGUUGGCAAAUCCGCUCUUCAAUCUGAAGACGUGAUGUGGACUGAAAAUAAGUAGGGAAGCACGUGAGCUGACUGUCAAGAAAAGCCGCUAUUGUUUGCAGGAUACCCGUACCGUAAACCGACACAGGUGGAUGAGGAGAGAAUCCUAAGGCCGACGGGAGAAGCAUUGUUAAGGAACUCGGCAAAAUGACUCCGUAACUUCGGGAGAAGGAGUGCCAGUAAGAUGGCCGCAGAGAAUUGGCCCAAGCAACUGUUUAGCAAAAACACAGGUCUAUGCAAAACCGAAAGGUGAGGUAUAUGGGCUGACGCCUGCCCGGUGCUGGAAGGUUAAGGGGAGAGGUUAGCGCAAGCGAAGCUUUGAACUUAAGCCCCAGUAAACGGCGGCCGUAACAAUAACGGUCCUAAGGUAGCGAAAUUCCUUGUCGGGUAAGUCCCGACCCGCACGAAAGGCGUAAUGAUUUGGGCACUGUCUCAACAAUGCACCCGGUGAAAUUGAAAUACCAGUGAAGAUGCUGGUUACCUGCGCCAGGACGGAAAGACCCCAUGGAGCUUUACUCCAGCUUGAUACUGGGAUUCGGUAUUGCAUGUACAGGAUAGGUGGGAGGCUAGGAAAUGGUAACGCCAGUUGCCAUGGAGCCAAUGUUGGGAUACCACCCUUGCAGUACUGGGUUUCUAACCAGCAGCCGUGAUCCGGCUGGGGGACAAUGUCAGGUGGGGAGUUUGACUGGGGCGGUCGCCUCCGAAAGGGUAUCGGAGGCGCUCAAAGGUUCCCUCAGAAUGGUUGGAAACCAUUCGAGGAGUGCAAAGGCAGAAGGGAGCUUGACUGCGACACCGACGGGUGGAGCAGGUACGAAAGUAGGACUUAGUGAUCCGGUGGUAUAAAGUGGAUUGCCAUCGCUCAACGGAUAAAAGCUACCCUGGGAUAACAGGCUUAUCACUCCCAAGAGUUCACAUCGACGGAGUGGUUUGGCACCUCGAUGUCGGCUCAUCGCAUCCUGGGGCUGAAGUAGGUCCCAAGGGUUGGGCUGUUCGCCCAUUAAAGCGGUACGCGAGCUGGGUUCAGAACGUCGUGAGACAGUUCGGUCCCUAUCCGGCGUGGGCGUAAGAUAUUUGAGAGGAGCUGUCCUUAGUACGAGAGGACCGGGAUGGACUGGCCGCUGGUGUAUCUGUUGUCUUACCAAAGGCAUAGCAGAGUAGCCAAGCCGGGAAGGGAUAAACGCUGAAGGCAUCUAAGCGUGAAGCCCCCCUCAAGAUGAGAUAUCUCAUAACGUCAAGUUAGUAAGACCCCUUGAAGACGACGAGGUAGAUAGGGCAGAGGUGGAAGUGUGGUAACACAUGGAGCUGACUGUUACUAAUAGGUCGAGGGCAUAACAG
rnacentral:rRNA from 1 species